rnacentral:RNase_P_RNA from 1 species
AAGGCGAGGUAAGAGCUCACCGAUCGCGUGGAAACAUUGCGAUCCUGUAAACCCUAUUCGGGGCAACACCGACCGAUUAGGCUUGCUCGGCCUAUCAUUUCGAAGGGUGGCUUGAGCUGUGGAGUAAUUCACAGACUGGAUAGAUAAUUGCCUUAAAUGACAGAACUCGGCUUACAGACCUGCUUGUAUG